rnacentral:rRNA from 1 species
CGGGUGAGUAAUGCCUAGGAAUCUGCCUGGUAGUGGGGGACAACGUUUCGAAAGGAACGCUAAUACCGCAUACGUCCUACGGGAGAAAGUGGGGGAUCUUCGGACCUCACGCUAUCAGAUGAGCCUAGGUCGGAUUAGCUUGUAGGUGAGGUAAUGGCUCACCUAGGCAACGAUCCGUAACUGGUCUGAGAGGAUGAUCAGUCACACUGGAACUGAGACACGGUCC